rnacentral:rRNA from 1 species
UGGGGAAUCUUGGACAAUGGGCGCAAGCCUGAUCCAGCCAUGCCGCGUGAGUGAAGAAGGCCUUCGGGUUGUAAAGCUCUUUUACCAGGGACGAUAAUGACGGUACCUGGAGAAUAAGCCCCGGCAAACUUCGUGCCAGCAGCCGCGGUAAUACGAAGGGGGCUAGCGUUGUUCGGAAUUACUGGGCGUAAAGCGCACGUAGGCGGAUUGUUAAGUCAGAGGUGAAAUCCCGGAGCUCAACUUCGGAACUGCCUUUGAUACUGGCAAUCUAGAGUCCGGAAGAGGUUAGUGGAAUUCCCAGUGUAGAGGUGAAAUUCGUAGAUAUUGGGAAGAACACCAGUGUCGAAGGCGGCUAACUGGUCCGGUACUGACGCUGAGGUGCGAAAGCGUGGGGAGCAAACAGGAUUAGAUACCCAUGUAGUCCCUGAGCGGGCUGGCAAGGCGCAU